rnacentral:rRNA from 1 species
AACGAACGCUGGCGGCAUGCCUAAUACAUGCAAGUCGAACGAUCUCUUCGGAGAUAGUGGCGCACGGGUGCGUAACGCGUGGGAAUCUGCCCUUGGGUUCGGAAUAACGUCGGGAAACUGACGCUAAUACCGGAUGAUGACGUAAGUCCAAAGAUUUAUCGCCCAGGGAUGAGCCCGCGUAGGAUUAGCUAGUUGGUGAGGUAAAGGCUCACCAAGGCGACGAUCCUUAGCUGGCCUGAGAGGAUGAUCAGCCACACUGGGACUGAGACACGGCCCAGACUCCUACGGGAGGCAGCAGUAGGGAAUAUUGGACAAUGGGCGAAAGCCUGAUCCAGCAAUGCCGCGUGAGUGAUGAAGGCCUUAGGGUUGUAAAGCUCUUUUACCCGGGAUGAUAAUGACAGUACCGGGAGAAUAAGCUCCGGCUAACUUCGUGCCAGCCGCCGCAGUAA